GACCAAAUCUGGAAUUGCUUUGCUCUACAACCAGGAGAGCAACAACACCUACGACGUCUGCCUGAAACUCACCAAAGACACGUUAACCAUUCAGAAGCUGGAUGUGGUCUGCACAAACGGAAGCCAAUCCCAAGUAAACCACAGAACUGUUGUACUGCGAAGACAGGCGACCGGCGGCCUGGGCUUAAGCAUCAAAGGCGGUGCAGAGCACAACGUGCCGGUGGUUAUUUCAAAGAUUUUCAAAGAUCAAGUUG